rnacentral:rRNA from 1 species
GACGAACGCUGGCGGCGUGCUUAACACAUGCAAGUCGAACGGAAAGGCCCUGCUUUUGUGGGGUGCUCGAGUGGCGAACGGGUGAGUAACACGUGAGUAACCUGCCCUUGACUUUGGGAUAACUUCAGGAAACUGGGGCUAAUACCGGAUAGGAGCUCCUGCUGCAUGGUGGGGGUUGGAAAGUUUCGGCGGUUGGGGAUGGACUCGCGGCUUACCAGCUUGUUGGUGGGGUAGUGGCUUACCAAGGCUUUGACGGGUAGCCGGCCUGAGAGGGUGACCGGCCACAUUGGGACUGAGAUACGGCCCAGACUCCUACGGGAGGCAGCAGUGGGGAAUAUUGCAAAAUGGGCGGAAGCCGGAUGCAGCAACGCCGCGUGCGGGAUGACGGCCUUCGGGUUGUAAACCGCUUUCGCCUGUGACGAAGCGUGGGUGACGGUAAUGGGUAAAGAAGCACCGGCUAACUACGUG